CGCCGCGGGACACCGAGAUACUAUGUCCUUGGCCACGAUCUCCGCCGUCCCGGUCUGGCCCCCUGUCAAAUUUGCGGCUGGGUCCAAGGCGCACCUGGUCCCCCAUUAGAAGACCGGUCGAUCCUUUCCCGACGGCGAGCGAGUUUUUGCUUGGAAGAACGCACGCUGGAAUUCUAAGUUGGAUGCGAAUUCCACGGAUCCACCUGUUCACUCCGAACCAUCCUUCGACUCCGGACAACAGUCGAAUAUCCCAAGAAUGGUAGUUCGUAGAUUAUUGGUUCCUGUUAAUUGGUCAUGUUGGCACGCUCGGAUGGGCAGCGCAGUGCGCGCGGCUCGUACGUGGCUCGUUGGCGCAAUCAAGGGUCGAGAGGAAAGGGCAAAGAAGAAAGUACCGGCGUUUCGAGUGGCAAUAUAAUACAGCCGCGAAACAAUGGAGCACCAUGUACGCUCGGCCACCAGGGCAAUAAAACCACGAGCACGGGUGGCGUACAAGCCAAGAGGGCCGUAGGAACUUCCGCGGCGGAUGAGGGAUAGAAAAUUAAAUAUUAAUUUCGUUCGCUUGGCUGCCGGAGAAAAGCUCAUCGCGCAUGCCUCCGGCCCUCUGACCGGUCGAAUCGUCCCUUCUAACCGCCUCGCUCACCUACGACCCCCCGCUUUUCAUUCCCGAUUCGAAAAGGUAAAACUCAUCCGGUGGCUCAGCCGGAUCUGGGCAGAUUAUUUUCGUCUGAAUUCGGAAUCAAAUUAACCUCUGCCUUUGCAUAAAUUAUUUCACCUCUCCGCUGCUAUUUUCUCGGCUGAGAAAAACGUCGUCCAGCUAUCUCUACGCCAACCAAUCAAACGCAGACCAAGGAGGAAGCUUCGCGAAAAUGUAAAACGGUUGAGACUAAGAAUUACACGCUGCUACUGUUUUUACCGUAACUACCCCAUAAUCCCAUCCACGUUGGAACGAAAUGUCCGAGCGUUUUUCCUCUUUCUUAUGAUAAAAUACUGAUCACUAAACUAAUAUUAAGGUUUUCAAAGAAUUUUCAGGUUCUAGUGAUGUUAUUACAUGACAAUUAUAUUCAUUCAUUUGAAGUAUAAAUUAUUGAAACUAUUCAUAAUUUAUCGUAUGGAUUUACAGAACUGAAGCGAUUCCUGAGCCACUUGGCAUGCACACAUGCAAGGAUUAAAUUAAUAAAGUGCUAUGAAUAUUUUUCGUCGGUUCGACGUUGACAAUUUGAGGAAUGUAAUUUUAUCCUAUUUUGAUUUAAUCUAAUUUAUUUACAGACGUGUAAAAAACCUAAAUUCUGAAUUAAAUAUCUUGAAUUAAGCUUCAGAUUUCAAAUCUUGACGAAUACAAUGACAGAAUGAUAUGAGACAGGAUAUGUAGAGUAAUAAUAUUUCGUGUAAUAAUAUUUGAACACGAUUGCAAUGCAAAUAAAAAAACCUUAAUUUAAAAUUCUAGCUAAAAAUUUGCUGGCUUGCGGUUUAUCUCAAAGCCUUUGAAUUUUUCUGAAACCUACAGGAAUUCUUAUAUUUCAAGUUCCACUGCACAGGUUUUGAUGAAACACGACUCAAAUUAAAGCUAGACA